rnacentral:rRNA from 1 species
UACGAAGGGGGCGAGCGUUGUUCGGAAUUACUGGGCGUAAAGGGCGCGCAGGCGGCCCUUGAGGUCGGCGUGAAAGCCCGGGGCUCAACUCCGGAACUGCCUUUAAGACUGCAUCGCUUGAAUCCGGGAGAGGUGAGUGGAAUUCCGAGUGUAGAGGUGAAAUUCGUAGAUAUUCGGAAGAACACCAGUGGCGAAGGCGGCUCACUGGACCGGUAUUGACGCUGAGGUGCGAAAGCGUGGGGAGCAAACAGG